UGGCUCAAUAGUUAAGAGCACUGGCUAUUCUUCCAGAGGACCUGGGUUCAAGUCCCAG
rfam:Rattus norvegicus chromosome 9, whole genome shotgun sequence.